GCCUUGGGUGGAGGAGAGCCCUCACCCUGCUGGGAACAGCCCACCUUGUUAUCUGCAGAGCAGCAGGGACAGGUUUGCACCAGGCUUGACAGCAGCUCCGAACUGGAUCAGAGCCGAGCUUACACCAGGCACCCAGCGAAGCUCUACCAUGGAAAGGCUGCAAGUCCUUUAACCGAAGGAAGCAAUUACAGCUCAGAGUCCACUGCAGGUGGUGAGCAAGCCAUACAGGCUUGCCAAAAACGGCAUACCACAGGGUCAGCACGAGGCCACCUUUGGCAGCUGGGAAGAGGCAGCAGUUUUGAGCUUCUGCUGAUUUCCUACGGUAUAUUUGAACUCUGCCUGGGGAAAGAAACCAGUCUGGCACACCCCUUCGGAAAGGCUACUGAGCCCUGAUCUACCAGGACAACUCUUUCAUUUGCUCUUGGAAGCUUCAGCUACUCCAGAGCACUGGGACUGGGGUGGAGGGAGGGGUUAGGGGUUUUGAUUUAUUUAUUAUAUUUUUUUAACCCGCUACACACCACUUAGAGUUAUUUGCUGAGCGCAAGGCUUUAACAGCAAUGAACUGGCAUGUUUCAGGCUCUCGGCUGGAACCAGUACAUUUUGCUUCUGGUUGAGAGGUUUCUUCAUUCAAGCCCAAAACACAUCUGUGCAUCAAUGUAAUGCUUGUGCACCACAAAUGCUCAUUUGUGGAAAAUCACAAAUCUAUCCCAUUACGGGUGACACAAUGAACUACUUAAAUGGUCAUCAGCAUCACUGGGAGUUUCUCAGCCUCUGAGUUUGGGACCAGCUCUGACUCCAGGAGAUCUCAGCAGGGAGAAUAUAGCUAUAAAAUCCUGCGCCCUUCGCUUUGGACACCAUUCCUUCUGCUACGUACCACAGCUGGGUCCCAACAAAGCAAAUACAGUGGGGCUUAAGCUAAAAGGGGUAGAAGUCCACAAAGCUACAGCUUCCCACAUGGUGUAUUACUGAACUCCGCAACAGUCAUAGCUCUGAAAUGAUCUGUAAAGGUUACCACAAUAACAGCAGGAUGCCAUCUUAUUUAUUUUGCACUUGGCUUUUAAAGUUCCCUAUCUGAAAGUACAUCGAGUCUCUGUGGAGCUCUAACAUCAAUGCCGCAUUCUAUGAAGCAAGGAAAAUAUAAUAUUUUUACAGUCGGUCUUUAAAUCAUUUUCUGACAACAAAUCAAUCUUACAAGAAGCCUUGUUGGUGUUAUGAGUAAGAGAAGGAGAGAUUUUGAGAUUAAAGUAUAAUAAUAGUAUGCUGUCUCCAUGAAUUUGCCCUUUCGUGUAUCAAACUAUUGCAUUAUGCUGCUGAGAUCUAAUUAAGCCCCACCAAUCAGAUUUAUGAUAGUGCUAAUAGGAAAAAGGAUCGUAUAACGCUGUUAAUAUGUGCUCUGUAAUUAACAUUAAUGGGAGUCGCGUGGUUAAACACCCCUUGCAUCACCCUGAAAACGGACCUCUAGGUGCGGUGUUUAUUUUAUAACCGUGGAGAAGUAGCAAUAGGUACGGAGCAAUUGCCCAUCUCGGCAAUUAGCAGAGAGAACUCGGGAAUCGCUGCACCCCAGCAGUGCUUGGCCUUGGAGCCCUGAGACAGGCAGGGUGCUGCUCCUGCAGCCUGCAGGUAGUCCUGCUGCGAUGCUGCCCGGGGGGUGAGGCGGGGGGACCCGAGUGAGCAAGGUGCUGAGAGCUCCCUGGAAGUGCCACGUGCCCUUUUUAAUGAUUUGUUACGGUGCCUGGCGCUUGCUGGAGCGUUCAGUACUUCGUGGAGGCAGAUUCUGCAGAAUCAGCACUCUGCAGACCCAACGCCUUGCUAACAAGACCCAAAGCCUGUGCAGCCAUCUUAGGCUGAAAUGUAACUCUGACGCUUGGAUACUUGUGUUCACUAAAAAUCCUUUUUUUUUUUUUUUUUUUUUUUUUUUUCCAAGGAGUAACUUUAGUGGUUAAACCCAAACGGAUGUGUGACAUUCUGUGUUCCUUAAAUCAUCAUUAUCGUUUCAUAAGGAGGCAUUUCUCUGCCUGGAGGCCCAUGGAUAACAUUCUCCUUAAUUAGAAAAGUAGUGUUUUACCCCUUCUCUACAGGGGUGCAAUUUAUUGCCCAAGUGAAAGGCAAUGAAAAUUACCAAACCUUAAAUCUCAGCCCUGACACGGAACCUUUGGCUACCUCACCCUUUUUCUCUGUGACCCGAAGUGCCCUAAAACCAACCAGCCGUUCCAGCCCUCUGUGUAGCCAUUGUGUGUUUGCUAUGUGAUGUUUAUUUUGUUUUUGCAGGUGUAAAUUUAACUUGAGACCAAACCUGUGGUAGUUACAAAAACUGGAGAUGCAAACAGGAACUGCCAAGUGAUAUAUGCUGAGUGAUGAGAACUCAGAGUAAAACAGGUUAUUAAUUGUAAGAAAUGUGAAGUCCUAAUUUCUCCCCAGCUCCCCAAAUAGAAGCAGAGUGGAAAUAAAUGCUUCAAAGUAGGAUAUUCUUGGUGAAUUAAAGUUAGCAAGUUGAAUCUGCUUGGAGAAGGAUCCAGGGAGCACCAGCACUGGUACAAGGGAGGAUGCCUUCAGUGAGGACCCUCUGGGAAGUAUCCCUCUUCUAAAUCCGACCUCCUGCAGCGUGUAACUGAAACCGAGCGGGUUAGAAAACUAAUCCCAAUUUCCAAGUGAC